rnacentral:rRNA from 1 species
AGUGAACGCUGGCGGUAGGCCUAACACAUGCAAGUCGAACGGCAGCACAGUAAGAGCUUGCUCUUACGGGUGGCGAGUGGCGGACGGGUGAGGAAUACAUCGGAAUCUACUUUUUCGUGGGGGAUAACGUAGGGAAACUUACGCUAAUACCGCAUACGACCUCCGGGUGAAAGCAGGGGAUCUUCGGCCCUUGCGCGAUUGACUGAGCCGAUGUCGGAUUAGCUAGUUGGCGGGGUAAAGGCCCACCAAGGCGACGAUCCGUAGCUGGUCUGAGAGGAUGAUCAGCCACACUGGAACUGAGACACGGUCCAGACUCCUACGGGAGGCAGCAGUGGGGAAUAUUGGACAAUGGGCGCAAGCCUGAUCCAGCCAUACCGCGUGGGUGAAGAAGGCCUUCGGGUUGUAAAGCCCUUUUGUUGGGAAAGAAAAGCAGCAGGUUAAUACCCCGCUGUUCUGACGGUACCCAAAGAAUAAGCACCGGCUAACUUCGUG